rnacentral:rRNA from 1 species
GAUGAACGCUAGCGGCAGGCUUAAUACAUGCAAGUCGAGGGGCAACAGGGGGUAGCAAUACCUGCUGGCGACCGGCAAACGGGUGCGGAACACGUACAGAACCUUCCUUUAAGCGGGGGAUAGCCCAUAGAAAUGUGGAUUAAUACCCCAUAGUAAUGUUUAAUGGCAUCAUUAGAUAUUUAAAGAUUUAUCACUUAAAGAUGGCUGUGCGGCUGAUUAGGUAGUUGGUCGGGGAACGGCCCACCAAGCCAACGAUCAGUAACUGGUGUGAGAGCACGACCAGUCACACGGGCACUGAGACACGGGCCCGACUCCUACGGGAGGCAGCAGUAAGGAAUAUUGGUCAAUGGACGCAAGUCUGAACCAGCCAUGCCGCGUGAAGGAUGAAGGCCCUCUGGGUUGUAAAC